ACAGAAAAUAACUUCAUUCUGCAAUUGAAAGAAUCACAGCAAGCUCUCAUUGUAUCAAGGCAAACUGGCGGUCAUACUCUUCUCUAAAUGAGCCAACACUCCCUAGGAGACCUCAGUAGAACUCCCUCUUCUCUGCUGGAAAGGUUUUGCCUCCCCAGGACCCAUCCCUCACCAUCCAUGCAUGACAUUCUGGCCUCAAGUAUCCACUCCUCAAAGGAAAAGAAAUUGGAGAGAUUCGCCUUGAAAAUAAGCCUUCAUAUUAGUGACUUCCUUCUUUUAAAGGACAUCGAACAAGUUUUAUCCUCUUAUCGAUGAGUGGAACCUCUUUCUCCAUAACUUGAAUCUGCACUGGCCAUCUGGCUUGCUUUGGCCUAAAGAAUGUGGGCCAUUUCUGAGUCCAGGCUUCAAGAGGACUUUGCAUUUCCUUUUUCUCUCUUGACACACUGUUGAAGUAUAAUGUAAAUGAGCCAGGGCACUCUUAGAAGGUGAGAUACGUAGUUCAAUGGUUCUCAUUGCUCUAGGUGAUAUCCAGCUAACCCCCAGAAGCAGAGCAACUUGAACAAGUUGCGGCUGACCACUGAUCCUCAUGGAGUCAGCUUCAAUUAGAAGAAUUGCUCAACUGAGUGUGGUCUAAAUGAUCUAUUUCUAAAUUAUGAACACAAUAAAUGCUUAUUGUUUUAAGCCACUGAGAAUUAAGGUGACUUGUUAUGCAGUAACAGAUAAUUGAUAGACUGUUCAUGAGUUCUGUGUCUCUGAAGAGUUUAUGUUGUUUGCCUUUGUAAUACCUAACAUGAUGUGUUAAGAGUACUCACUCAAUAAUAAAUUAUUUAGUUAACUGAAAUGUUUCCAUAGCAAUAAGAAUAGGCAGUUGGUCAUUUGAUGAUUUAGUAUGAUCCAAAUAAUCCCUAUGAAUAAUCAAUCCAUUCUAUACCAUAUUAAGUAAUCUGAACAUUUAAUAGGAAUAUUGAUAUAUAGAAAAGGCUGAAUCUCAAGGUAGGAUGGACUGUUUCCACAAAAUUUUGAUAUUGGUUUGAACACCCAUACUCUAAUACCUGCAGUUAUAACAGAUGUUAAUCAUACAAGAAAAAUUAGAUUAAGUGUUUUCUCCCCAUUUUAAUGGUCUCUUUUAAUGGUCCCAGCACAGCUUAAAUUUCUGGAGUUCACUAGCAUCUCUAUAGUAGUCAAAUGACAGAAAUAUGGCAGCCUUGUUCAUCAAAAGUGUAGUCCUCAGACCAGAAAGAACAGUGUCACUUCUGAGCUUUAUGGAAAUACAAAAUCUGAUCUGGGGCUAGCUGAAGAAUGAAGGAAUUAGCCAGACUGAGGGAGAGUCCUUGGGAGGAUUGAUUCUAGUCUGCAGUCACUUUCUGUUCUUGUUGGAAUGUACUAUAUGGCACAGAGAUGGACAUUAUGGGCUAUUGUGACCAUGUGAUCAAACAAGUUACAAUUACAAUGGAAUCAUUGGGCCCCUGCAGUUUCUGUAUUUAUAAAACCAUGCCAUUAAAGGGCCUUAAAUGACAUUUUUCUGAACUCAUAGUUCAAUGGAAGUCAUUUUUUUCUGAAACAUGCCUCUCAUACCUGGUACACAUCAACUUUAAAAAAUCAAAAGGCGGGGAAAUCUCCCUUAUUCUCGUCUAGGGUGAAAAUGAUCUGUUCUUCCACUCUUCUCCUUAGGAAAUGGCAACUUAAUCCUUUUUCAGACAGCUAUCUUCCCCUAGGAAGCUCUCUUUUUGUGCUCUCAGCUUCAAUUACUUCGAUUUGCAUUUGCCAUGUUGUUCUAGAGAUGGGGGAAAAUGCUUUCUGCAAAUGUUAGAGUUUAUUUUUACCAAGAGAGCAUAAACCAGAGUUGGACUUGAAAAUAAAAGGGAGUUUAUCUUAUGUACUCUCUGACAAUAAAAGACUCAAUAGAAUUUUCUCUUUCAAAAAUAAAAAAGAGCUUUAUUUCAUGUUUGUUGGUCGCAUAAAUGUGUUCUUUUAAGAAGUGUCUUUUCAUAUACUUUGCCCACUGUUUUUAGGGGGUUGUUUGUGCUUUUCUUGUAAAUUUGUUUAAGUUCCUUGUAGGUUCUGGAUAUUAGCCCU
rnacentral:lncRNA from 1 species